GCCGGGCGUGGUGGCUCACGCCUGUAAUCCCAGAACUUUGGGAGGCCAAGGUGGGCAGAUCACCUGAGGUCCGGAGUUCAAGACCAGCCUGACCAACAUGGAGAAACUCUUGUCUCUACUAAAAAUACAAAAUUAGCCGGGUGUGGUGGCACAUGCCUGUAAUCCCAGCUACUCAGGGGGCUGAGGCAGGAGAAUCACUUGAACCCUGGGAGGUGGAGGUUGCAGUGAGCUGAGAUCGCGCCAUUGCACUCCAGCCUGGGCAACAGGAGCAAAACUCCAUCU
rnacentral:lncRNA from 10 species